rnacentral:misc_RNA from 1 species
GAUGAAGAACGUAGCGAAAUGCGAUAAGUAAUGUGAAUUGCAGAAUUCAGUGAAUCAUCGAAUCUUUGAACGCACAUUGCGCCCGCCAGUAUUCUGGCGGGCAUGCCUGUUCGAGCGUCAUUACAACCCUCAGGCCCCCGGGCCUGGCGUUGGGGAUCGGCGGAGCCCCCCGUGGGCACACGCCGUCCCCCAAAUGCAGUGGCGGUCCCGCCGCAGCUUCCAUCGCGUAGUAGCUAACACCUCGCGACUGGAGAGCGGCGCGGCCACGCCGUAAAACACCCAACUCUUCUGAAGUUGACCUCGAAUCAGGUAGGAACACCCGCUGAACUUAAGCAUAUCAAUAAGCGAGA